rnacentral:lncRNA from 1 species
UGAUUUUGAGAAUUAUGCCUUGUUUUCACAUGAUUCCACUUACAUUAGCUUACAAACAACAUUUCUGAAUUGCUCAAACCAGAAAAUGCACUGUUACAUUGGUUUGCACAUGGUGAGGGUGAAUUGACCAAAUUGCCAUUUAGCAUGAAACUUGCAUUUGGCUUAAACACUUGCAUUUUUGCUAAUCAUGAUUAGCAACUUCAUUAACAUCACAUAUAUAAACUAAAUCAUAACUGUUUUC